rnacentral:rRNA from 1 species
CCUACGGGGGGCUGCAGUGGGGAAUAUUGGACAAUGGGGGGAACCCUGAUCCAGCCAUGCCGCGUGUGUGAAGAAGGCCCUCGGGUUGUAAAGCACUUUCAGUGAGGAAGAACGCCUGGUGGUUAAUACCCAUCAGGAAAGACAUCACUCACAGAAGAAGCACCGGCUAACUCCGUGCCAGCAGCCGCGGUAAUACGGAGGGUGCGAGCGUUAAUCGGAAUUACUGGGCGUAAAGCGCGCGUAGGUGGCUUGAUAAGCCGGUUGUGAAAGCCCCGGGCUCAACCUGGGAACGGCAUCCGGAACUGUCAAGCUAGAGUGCAGGAGUGGAAGGUAGAAUUCCCGGUGUAGCGGUGAAAUGCGUAGAGAUCGGGAGGAAUACCAGUGGCGAAGGCGGCCUUCUGGACUGACACUGACACUGAGGUGCGAAAGCGUGGGUAGCAAACAGGAUUAGAUACCCUAGUAGUC